GAGCUAACACCGCUUCCGGUGUUCCCUGAGUGAACACCGUUUUCCUUCAAAAUUGGUGACUUUGAUUAUGGUUUUUAUCAUGAUUUUGCUUUUAGCUGGUAAAAUUUUAGAUUUUGCUCUGUGUAACUCCAGUUGAUUGGUUCCACACUUCUCAUUCUAAAACCAGUUCUGUCAUGAUAAUACCCAUAAUUAAACUCCCAUUAAAAGGGUUAUUCGUUACAGUUUUUUUGUAUAGUUUGAUUGUUAUGAAUUAGGUUGAACUAAUUAACCUUUUUUGUUACUUGAAGUAUGGAAGAACCAGCCAUUGCUGUUGACGACGGACAAGAAGCCACCCCUCCGUAUCUUUCAUGACAACUUCAUCAGGUAACCAGUAACCGAUUAGUUAGAAAUCUGUUGUAUUAUAGUUGUGUUAUCGGUGGUAAGAUUUGGUUAAUGAUUGGCAGUGUGAGUUGGUUUGACCUUAUAGAGGUCAUCAAGUGGUCAAUAAUUAGAAUAUAAGAAGGUUUAAUCGUAUGGAUCAAUAUUUUAUAAACAAUAAAUCAUCCAAAAAAUCAUCAUAUGCUUGACAUGCUUGGUACAAUAAAACUCAAAGUAGAGAGUGGAAGUAUAACUAACUAAGUGUUUUAAACUGAUCAUAUCUGAUUUGACCGCAACCCAAGUGUAGUUGUUGAUGUUGGUGAUAGUUUUUGAAGGCUGUUGGUGGUUAGAAGUUAUGUGUAUUGUUGUCUUUUUUGCUCUGGUGCAACCUGUCAGACUCGAUAUUAAGCUUGCUCAGAGAUCAGAAAGAAUAAAGUCAGUUGACUUGCAUCCGGUGAAACCAUGUAAAAGGGAUUUAUAGCAAAUCAAGUGUUGGAGGGUAGCCAACCAGUUGAUAUCUCUAAGAACCCGUCUUGAGUUGUUCUUACACUUAAAGGAUGAAUGCGAUAGUGGAGUUGAAGAAGACAUGGAAGCCCUAAAAAGGCCUUUUCUGUGACGGCCAAAUCCCCAGCCGCCAUUUAAAGGCGCUUCUCUCACUAGAACGGAAGAGCAUACGGAGUGUAGUGGCGUGAACCAACCCUCUACAAAAGAGGUGUCAUAUGAGGUGCGUUUAGAACAGGUACUUUUAUAUAUCAAAAUUUGAUAGUCACAUAAACCUAAUAAUUGAUUUGGUUAAAUGGAAUUGAUAUGAAACAAUGGUUUUAUGUUUUUUUGCCUUUUGUUUUAUAAAGUUGAUAUACUUUUGGUGUCUAAUAAAAUAAUAGGUUUAUAGGUAGCUAGCUCGUGUUGUAUGAAUCUUAGUUUGACAUGAAGCUUAGUUUUAAUCUCUUAUGAUAUUUAAAUCAGUACUCAGCAUUUAUUGUAUCUAGAGACCAUUGGACUCAGUGGCGGAGCUUGACCCAAAAU